UACGGAGGGUGCGAGCGUUGUCCGGAAUCACUGGGCGUAAAGGGCGUGUAGGCGGUCCGCUAAGUCUGAUGUGAAAGCCCGGGGCUCACCCCCGGAAGUGCAUUGGAAACUGGCGAACUCGAGUCCCGGAGAGGAGGGUGGAAUUCCUGGUGUAGCGGUGAAAUGCGCAGAUAUCAGGAGGAACACCGGUGGCGAAGGCGGGUCUCUGGGCCGAUACUGGCGCUGAGGAGCGAAAGCGUGGGGAGCAAACAGG
rnacentral:rRNA from 1 species